UGAGGAAUAUUGGUCAAUGGGCGCGAGCCUGAACCAGCCAAGUAGCGUGCGGGAAGAAGGCCCUAUGGGUUGUAAACCGCUUUUACCGGGGGAUAAAGUGAGCGACGUGUCGCUCAUUGCAGGUACCCGGCGAAUAAGGACCGGCUAAUUCCGUGCCAGCAGCCGCGGUAAUACGGAAGGUCCGGGCGUUAUCCGGAUUUAUUGGGUUUAAAGGGAGCGUAGCCGGAUGUCAAGCGUGUUGUGAAAUGCCGGGGCUCAACCUUGGCACUGCAGCGCGAACUGGUUUCCUUGAGUACGCACAAAGUGGGCGGAAUUCGUGGUGUAGCGGUGAAAUGCUUAGAUAUCACGAAGAACUCCGAUUGCGAAGGCAGCUCACUGGAGCGCAACUGACGCUGAAGCUCGAAAGUGCGGGUAUCGAACAGGAUUAGAUACCCUGGUAGU
rnacentral:rRNA from 1 species